GGUUCGAUGGCGUAGUUGGUUAUCGCAUCUGUCUAACAGUGGACCUCCCGUUGGAGUUACUUGUUACACAGAAGGUCCUCAGUUCGAGCCUGGGUCGAAUCA